rnacentral:rRNA from 1 species
AUUGAACGCUGGCGGCAUGCUUUACACAUGCAAGUCGAACGGUAACAGGUUAAGCUGACGAGUGGCGAACGGGUGAGUAAUGCAUCGGAAGGUGCCCGAUCGUGGGGGAUAACGCAGCGAAAGCUGCGCUAAUACCGCAUACGAUCUGAGGAUGAAAGCGGGGGACCGUAAGGCCUCGCGCGAUCGGAGCGGCCGAUGUCAGAUUAGGUAGUUGGUGGGGUAAAGGCUCACCAAGCCGACGAUCUGUAGCUGGUCUGAGAGGACGACCAGCCACACUGGGACUGAGACACGGCCCAGACUCCUACGGGAGGCAGCAGUGGGGAAUUUUGGACAAUGGGCGAAAGCCUGAUCCAGCAAUGCCGCGUGCAGGAAGAAGGCCUUCGGGUUGUAAACUGCUUUUGUACGGAGCGAAAAGGCUCUCUCUAAUACAGGGGGCUCAUGACGGUACCGUAAGAAUAAGCACCGGCUAACUACGUGCCAGCAGCCGCAGUAA